rnacentral:piRNA from 1 species
UCUGAUGUGCAGAUAUACAUGGA